rnacentral:rRNA from 1 species
AUUGAACGCUGGCGGAAUGCUUUACACAUGCAAGUCGAACGGCAGCACGGGGCAACCUGGUGGCGAGUGGCGAACGGGUGAGUAAUACAUCGGAACGUGCCCAAUCGUGGGGGAUAACGUAGCGAAAGUUACGCUAAUACCGCAUACGAUCUACGGAUGAAAGCGGGGGAUCGCAAGACCUCGCGCGAAUGGAGCGGCCGAUGUCAGAUUAGGUAGUUGGUGGGGUAAAGGCUCACCAAGCCGACGAUCUGUAGCUGGUCUGAGAGGACGACCAGCCACACUGGGACUGAGACACGGCCCAGACUCCUACGGGAGGCAGCAGUGGGGAAUUUUGGACAAUGGGCGCAAGCCUGAUCCAGCCAUUCCGCGUGCAGGAUGAAGGCCUUCGGGUUGUAAACUGCUUUUGUACGGAACGAAACGGUUCUCUCUAAUACAGGGGGCUAAUGACGGUACCGUAAGAAUAAGCACCGGCUAACUACGUGCCAGCAGCCGCGGUAACAC